rnacentral:rRNA from 1 species
UUAAGCGACUAAGCGUACACGGUGGAUGCCCUGGCAGUCAGAGGCGAUGAAGGACGUGCUAAUCUGCGAAAAGCGUCGGUAAGGUGAUAUGACCGUUAUAACCGGCGAUGUCCGAAUGGGGAAACCCAGUGCAAUUCGUUGCACUAUCGUUAACUGAAUACAUAGGUUAACGAGGCGAACCGGGGGAACUGAAACAUCUAAGUACCCCGAGGAAAAGAAAUCAACCGAGAUUCCCCCAGUAGCGGCGAGCGAACGGGGAGCAGCCCAGAGUCUGAAUCAGCUUGUGUGUUAGUGGAACGGUCUGGAAAGUCCGACGGUACAGGGUGAUAGUCCCGUACACCAAAAUGCACAGGUUGUGAACUCGAAGAGUAGGGCGGGACACGUGGUAUCCUGUCUGAAUAUGGGGGGACCAUCCUCCAAGGCUAAAUACUCCUGACUGACCGAUAGUGAACCAGUACCGUGAGGGAAAGGCGAAAAGAACCCCGGCGAGGGGAGUGAAAAAGAACCUGAAACCGUGUACGUACAAGCAGUGGGAGCACCUUCGGGUGUGACUGCGUACCUUUUGUAUAAUGGGUCAGCGACUUAUAUUCUGUAGCAAGGUUAACCGUAUAGGGGAGCCGCAGGGAAACCGAGUCUUAACUGGGCGUUAAGUUGCAGGGUAUAGACCCGAAACCCGGUGAUCUAGCCAUGGGCAGGUUGAAGGUUGGGUAACACUAACUGGAGGACCGAACCGACUAAUGUUGAAAAAUUAGCGGAUGACUUGUGGCUGGGGGUGAAAGGCCAAUCAAACCGGGAGAUAGCUGGUUCUCCCCGAAAGCUAUUUAGGUAGCGCCUCGUGAAUUCAUCUUCGGGGGUAGAGCACUGUUUCGGCUAGGGGGUCAUCCCGACUUACCAACCCGAUGCAAACUACGAAUACCGAAGAAUGUUAUCACGGGAGACACACGGCGGGUGCUAACGUCCGUCGUGAAGAGGGAAACAACCCAGACCGCCAGCUAAGGUCCCAAAGUCAUGGUUAAGUGGGAAACGAUGUGGGAAGGCACAGACAGCCAGGAUGUUGGCUUAGAAGCAGCCAUCAUUUAAAGAAAGCGUAAUAGCUCACUGGUCGAGUCGGCCUGCGCGGAAGAUGUAACGGGGCUAAACCAUGCACCGAAGCUGCGGCAGCGACACUAUGUGUUGUUGGGUAGGGGAGCGUUCUGUAAGCCUGCGAAGGUGUGCUGUGAGGCAUGCUGGAGGUAUCAGAAGUGCGAAUGCUGACAUAAGUAACGAUAAAGCGGGUGAAAAGCCCGCUCGCCGGAAGACCAAGGGUUCCUGUCCAACGUUAAUCGGGGCAGGGUGAGUCGACCCCUAAGGCGAGGCCGAAAGGCGUAGUCGAUGGGAAACAGGUUAAUAUUCCUGUACUUGGUGUUACUGCGAAGGGGGGACGGAGAAGGCUAUGUUAGCCGGGCGACGGUUGUCCCGGUUUAAGCAUGUAGGCUGAUUGUCCAGGCAAAUCCGGAUAAUCAAGGCUGAGGUGUGAUGACGAGGCACUACGGUGCUGAAGUAACAAAUGCCCUGCUUCCAGGAAAAGCCUCUAAGCAUCAGGUAACAUCAAAUCGUACCCCAAACCGACACAGGUGGUCAGGUAGAGAAUACCAAGGCGCUUGAGAGAACUCGGGUGAAGGAACUAGGCAAAAUGGUGCCGUAACUUCGGGAGAAGGCACGCUGGUGUGUAGGUGAAGUCCCUGCGGAUGGAGCUGAGACCAGUCGAAGAUACCAGCUGGCUGCAACUGUUUAUUAAAAACACAGCACUGUGCAAACACGAAAGUGGACGUAUACGGUGUGACGCCUGCCCGGUGCCGGAAGGUUAAUUGAUGGGGUUAUCCGUAAGGAGAAGCUCUUGAUCGAAGCCCCGGUAAACGGCGGCCGUAACUAUAACGGUCCUAAGGUAGCGAAAUUCCUUGUCGGGUAAGUUCCGACCUGCACGAAUGGCGUAAUGAUGGCCAGGCUGUCUCCACCCGAGACUCAGUGAAAUUGAACUCGCUGUGAAGAUGCAGUGUACCCGCGGCAAGACGGAAAGACCCCGUGAACCUUUACUAUAGCUUGACACUGAACAUUGAGCCUUGAUGUGUAGGAUAGGUGGGAGGCUUUGAAGCGUGGACGCCAGUCUGCGUGGAGCCAACCUUGAAAUACCACCCUUUAAUGUUUGAUGUUCUAACGUUGGCCCCUGACCGGGGUUGCGGACAGUGUCUGGUGGGUAGUUUGACUGGGGCGGUCUCCUCCCAAAGCGUAACGGAGGAGCACGAAGGUUAGCUAAUCCUGGUCGGACAUCAGGAGGUUAGUGCAAUGGCAUAAGCUAGCUUGACUGCGAGCGUGACGGCGCGAGCAGGUGCGAAAGCAGGUCAUAGUGAUCCGGUGGUUCUGAAUGGAAGGGCCAUCGCUCAACGGAUAAAAGGUACUCCGGGGAUAACAGGCUGAUACCGCCCAAGAGUUCAUAUCGACGGCGGUGUUUGGCACCUCGAUGUCGGCUCAUCACAUCCUGGGGCUGAAGUAGGUCCCAAGGGUAUGGCUGUUCGCCAUUUAAAGUGGUACGCGAGCUGGGUUUAGAACGUCGUGAGACAGUUCGGUCCCUAUCUGCCGUGGGCGCUGGAGAAUUGAGGGGGGCUGCUCCUAGUACGAGAGGACCGGAGUGGACGCAUCACUGGUGUUCGGGUUGUCAUGCCAAUGGCACUGCCCGGUAGCUAAAUGCGGAAGAGAUAAGUGCUGAAAGCAUCUAAGCACGAAACUUGCCCCGAGAUGAGUUCUCCCUGAGACUUUAAGUCUCCUGAAGGAACGUUGAAGACGACGACGUUGAUAGGCCGGGUGUGUAAGCGCAGCGAUGCGUUGAGCUAACCGGUACUAAUGAACCGUGAGGCUUAACCUU